CCUACGGGAGGCAGCAGUGAGGAAUAUUGGUCAAUGGACGAGAGUCUGAACCAGCCAAGUAGCGUGAAGGAUGACUGCCCUAUGGGUUGUAAACUUCUUUUAUAUGGGAAUAAAACGUUCCACGUGUGGGAUUUUGUAUGUACCAUAUGAAUAAGGAUCGGCUAACUCCGUGCCAGCAGCCGCGGUAAUACGGAGGAUCCGAGCGUUAUCCGGAUUUAUUGGGUUUAAAGGGAGCGUAGGUGGAUUGUUAAGUCAGUUGUGAAAGUCUGCGGCUCAACCGUAGAAUUGCAGUUUGAACUGGCAGUCUUGAGUACAGUAGAGGUGGGCGGAAUUCGUGGUGUAGCGGUGAAAUGCUUAGAUAUCACGAAGAACUCCGAUUGCGAAGGCAGUUCACUGGACUGCAACUGACACUGAGGCUCGAAAGUGUGGGUAUCAAACAGGAUUAGAUACCCGGGUAGUC
rnacentral:rRNA from 1 species